CACGUAGGCGGAUUGCUAAGUCAGCUGUGAAAGCCCACGGCUUAACCGUGGAACGGCAGUUGAUACUGGUAGUCUUGAGUUCGGAAGAGGAGAGUGGAACUCCUGGUGGAGCGGUGGAAUGCGUAGAUAUCAGGGGGAACAGCGGAGGCGAAGGCGACUCUCUAGUCCGAAACUGACGCUGAGGUGCGAAAGCCAGGGGAGCGAACAGGAUUAGAUACCCUGGUAGUCC
rnacentral:rRNA from 1 species